AGACUCUGUAAAGCUCAGGAGGGAUAGCGCCAUAAGCAAUGAUAAUGGUUAUUGAUUUUUGGGUUAAUCUACAAAAAAAAAAAAAAAAAAAAAUACAUUAAUGGCGCUAUCUAUCCUGAGUUUCACAGGUUCUU
rnacentral:pre_miRNA from 1 species